rnacentral:tRNA from 1 species
GCCGAGGUAGAUCAGCAUGGGAGAUCGCGCGGCUGAAGACCGCGUUGUCGCUCGUUCAAAUCGGGCCCUCGGCACCA